UACAGAGGUCUCAAGCGUUGUUCGGAUUCAUUGGGCGUAAAGGGUGCGUAGGCGGCGAAGCAAGUCAGGUGUGAAAUCCCGGGGCUCAACCCCGGAACUGCACUUGAUACUGCUUUGCUUGAGGACUGGAGAGGAGAUCGGAAUUCACGGUGUAGCAGUGAAAUGCGUAGAUAUCGUGAGGAAGGCCAGUGGCGAAGGCGGAUCUCUGGACAGUUCCUGACGCUGAGGCACGAAGGCCAGGGGAGCAAACGGG
rnacentral:rRNA from 1 species